rnacentral:rRNA from 1 species
UACUCUUCGGGGUUGUAGGACUGCAAUGUGGACUCAAAGAUUAUAGAAGAAUGAUUUGGGAAGAUCAGCCAAAGAGAGUAAUAGCCUCGUAUUUAAAAUAGUCUUUGUACUUAGCAGUAUCCUGAGUACGGCGGGACACGUGAAAUCCCGUCGGAAUCUGGGAGGACCAUCUCCCAACCCUAAAUACUCCCUAGUGACCGAUAGUGAACCAGUACCGUGAGGGAAAGGUGAAAAGCACCCCGGGAGGGGAGUGAAAUAGAACCUGAAACCGUGUGCCUACAACAAGUUCGAGCCCGUUAAUGGGUGAGAGCGUGCCUUUUGUAGAAUGAACCGGCGAGUUACGUUAUGAUGCGAGGUUAAGUUGAAGAGACGGAGCCGUAGGGAAACCGAGUCUGAAUAGGGCGCCUUAGUAUCAUGACGUAGACCCGAAACCAUGUGACCUACCCAUGAGCAGGUUGAAGGUGCGGUAAGACGCACUGGAGGACCGAACCAGGGCACGUUGAAAAGUGCUUGGAUGACUUGUGGGUAGCGGAGAAAUUCCAAACGAACUUGGAGAUAGCUGGUUCUCUCCGAAAUAGCUUUAGGGCUAGCGUCGACAUUAGAGAUUCUUGGAGGUAGAGCACUGUUUGGGUGAGGGGUCCAUCCCGGAUUACCAAUCUCAGAUAAACUCCGAAUGCCAAUGAAUUAUGGUCGGCAGUCAGACUGCGAGUGCUAAGAUCCGUAGUCGAAAGGGAAACAGCCCAGACCACCAGCUAAGGUCCCAAAAUAAUUGUUAAGUGGAAAAGGAUGUGGGGUUGCACAGACAACUAGGAUGUUAGCUUAGAAGCAGCUAUUCAUUCAAAGAGUGCGUAAUAGCUCACUAGUCGAGUGACCCUGCGCCGAAAAUGUACCGGGGCUAAAACAAUUUACCGAAGCUGUGGAUACCUUUAUAGGUAUGGUAGGAGAGCGUUCUAUGUGUGAUGAAGGUAUACCGUGAGGAGUGCUGGAACGCAUAGAAGUGAGAAUGCCGGUAUGAGUAGCGAAAGACAGGUGAGAAUCCUGUCCACCGUAAGACUAAGGUUUCCAGGGGAAGGCUCGUCCGCCCUGGGUUAGUCGGGACCUAAGGAGAGACCGAAAGGUGUAUCCGAUGGACAACAGGUUGAUAUUCCUGUACUAGAGUAUGUAGUGAUGGAGGGACGCAGUAGGCUAACUAAAGCAGACGAUUGGAAGAGUCUGUCUAAGCAGUGAGGUGUGAAUUGAGUCAAAUGCUUAAUUCUAUAACAUUGAGCUGUGAUGGGGAGCGAAGUUUAGUAGCGAAGUUAGUGACGUCACACUGCCAAGAAAAGCUUCUAGCGUUUAAACAUACUCUACCCGUACCGCAAACCGACACAGGUAGUCGAGGCGAGUAGCCUCAGGUGAGCGAGAGAACUCUCGUUAAGGAACUCGGCAAAAUGACCCCGUAACUUCGGGAGAAGGGGUGCUGACUUAAAGUCAGCCGCAGUGAAUAGGCCCAAGCAACUGUUUAUCAAAAACACAGCUCUCUGCUAAAUCGUAAGAUGAUGUAUAGGGGGUGACGCCUGCCCGGUGCUGGAAGGUUAAGAGGAGUGCUUAGCGUAAGCGAAGGUAUGAAUUGAAGCCCCAGUAAACGGCGGCCGUAACUAUAACGGUCCUAAGGUAGCGAAAUUCCUUGUCGGGUAAGUUCCGACCCGCACGAAAGGCGUAAUGAUUUGGGCACUGUCUCAACGAGAGACUCGGUGAAAUUUUAGUACCUGUGAAGAUGCAGGUUACCCGCGACAGGACGGAAAGACCCCAUGGAGCUUUACUGCAGUUUGAUAUUGAGUGUCUGUACCACAUGUACAGGAUAGGUAGGAGUCUAAGAGAUCGGGACGCCAGUUUCGAAGGAGACGCUGUUGGGAUACUACCCUUGUGUUAUGGCCACUCUAACCCAGAUAGGUGAUCCCUAUCGGAGACAGUGUCUGACGGGCAGUUUGACUGGGGCGGUCGCCUCCUAAAAGGUAACGGAGGCGCCCAAAGGUUCCCUCAGAAUGGUUGGAAAUCAUUCGCAGAGUGUAAAGGUAUAAGGGAGCUUGACUGCGAGAGCUACAACUCGAGCAGGGACGAAAGUCGGGCUUAGUGAUCCGGUGGUUCCGUAUGGAAGGGCCAUCGCUCAACGGAUAAAAGCUACCCUGGGGAUAACAGGCUUAUCUCCCCCAAGAGUUCACAUCGACGGGGAGGUUUGGCACCUCGAUGUCGGCUCGUCGCAUCCUGGGGCUGUAGUCGGUCCCAAGGGUUGGGCUGUUCGCCCAUUAAAGCGGCACGCGAGCUGGGUUCAGAACGUCGUGAGACAGUUCGGUCCCUAUCCGUCGCGGGCGUAGGAAAUUUGAGAGGAUCUGCUCCUAGUACGAGAGGACCAGAGUGGACUUACCGCUGGUGUACCAGUUGUCUUGCCAAAGGCAUCGCUGGGUAGCUAUGUAGGGAAGGGAUAAACGCUGAAAGCAUCUAAGUGUGAAACCCACCUCAAGAUGAGAUUUCCCAUGAUUAUAUAUCAGUAAGAGCCCUGAGAGAUGAUCAGGUAGAUAGGUUAGAAGUGGAAGUGUGGCGACACAUGUAGCGGACUAAUACUAAUAGCUCGAGGACUUAUCCAA